rnacentral:rRNA from 1 species
UGAGGAACAUGACCUUCGGCGGGGGAGUAGCCGGCCCAACGGCCGGGUAAUACCGCGUACGACCACUCGGGGACAUCCCUAGGUGGUGAAAGCAGCAAUGCGCCGAUGGAGUGCCUCGCGGCCUAUCAGCUAGUUGGUGAGGUAACGGCUCACCAAGGCGACGACGGGUAGCUGGUCUGAGAGGAUGGCCAGCCACAUUGGGACUGAGACACGGCCCAGACUCCUA